UACGAAGGGGGCUAGCGUUGCUCGGAAUCACUGGGCGUAAAGCGCACGUAGGCGGAUUGCUAAGUCAGGGGUGAAAUCCUGGAGCUCAACUCCAGAACUGCCUUUGAUACUGGCGAUCUUGAGUCCGGGAGAGGUGAGUGGAACUCCGAGUGUAGAGGUGAAAUUCGUAGAUAUUCGGAAGAACACCAGUGGCGAAGGCGGCUCACUGGCCCGGUACUGACGCUGAUGUGCGAAAGCGUGGGGAGCAAACAGG
rnacentral:rRNA from 1 species